ACAACCAUUUUCAUCUUGACCUUUUAGCUAAGUGCUCACAUUGUAUUUGACCAUUUUUGCUAUACUCAGCAACAACAUUUUAAUGGAGGAAAGUAUUGGAGUCUACAAACCUACUGGGGUGUUGUUUGACACACCUGAGUACAACACAGCUUUAAAGACCUGCUGGCACCCUCAAAGCUACAAGACUCAGAUUGCAGUGAUGAUGGCAUUCCUUGGA